CACGGAGUUAGCCGGUGCUUAUUCCUGGGGUACCGUCAGACACUUAAGAAUAAGUGAUUUCGUCCCCCAUAAAAGAAGUUUACAACCCAGAGGGCCUUCAUCCUCCACGCGGCAUGGCUGGUUCAGACUUGCGUCCAUUGACCAAUAUUCCUUA
rnacentral:rRNA from 1 species